AUUGAACGCUGGCGGCAGGCCUAACACAUGCAAGUCGAACGAGUGGCGGACGGGUGAGUAAUGUCUGGGAAACUGCCUGAUGGAGGGGGAUAACUACUGGAAACGGUAGCUAAUACCGCAUACCAUCGGAUGUGCCCAGAGGGGUUUAGCUAGUCGGUGGGGUAAAGGCUCACCUAGGCGACGAUCCCUAGCUGGUCUGAGAGGAUGACCAGUCAGACUGGUACUGAGACAAGGUCCAGACGCCUAAGUGAGGUAGCAGUGGGGAAUAGUGCACAAGGGGCGAAAGCCUGAUCCAGCCAUGCCGCGUGUGGGAAGAAGGUCUUCGGAGUGUAAAGCACUUGAAGUUGGGAGGCGUUACUAUCAGAAUAAGCACCGGCUAACUUCGUGCCAGCAGCCGCGGUAAUAC
rnacentral:rRNA from 1 species